rnacentral:antisense_RNA from 1 species
GAAGUUGUCAUCCUCGGCGGCGAGCAGGGCGUUGAUAAAGUCUUGUGGGAUGUCGUUGAAAGCGAUCGGCGAACGGCGCAUCUCGCCGAAUUCCGCUAUCAGCUUGCCGUCGCUGCUGUAGACGCGCAGCGGGAUCUGCAGCUGUAUGCUGCGUAGCGACUCGACGGAUGGCAGGCUGGGGCUAAGGUAAAGGAAGGCGCCGCUCAAACUGAGCAGCAGCCCACAAAAAAUAGCAACGCAGGACCAGAGCAGGAACUUCAACAAACGCAUCAAAAUGUUUGUAUUUCCAGAUAA